rnacentral:rRNA from 1 species
AGAGUUUGAUCCUGGCUCAGGAUGAACGCUAGCUACAGGCUUAACACAUGCAAGUCGAGGGGCAGCAUGAAACUUAGCUGCUAAGUUUGAUGGCGACCGGCGCACGGGUGAGUAACACGUAUCCAACCUACCGUUUACUACGGGAUAGCCUUCUGAAAAAGGAGAUUAAUACCGUAUGGCAUUCUAAAGUUUCAUGACAUUAGAAUUAAAGGUUUACCGGUAAUCGAUGGGGAUGCGUUCCAUUAGAUAGUAGGCGGGGUAACGGCCCACCUAGUCAGCGAUGGAUAGGGGUUUUGAGAGGAAGGUCCCCCACAUUGGAACUGAGACACGGUCCAAACUCCUACGGGAGGCAGCAGUGAGGAAUAUUGGUCAAUGGGCGAGAGCCUGAACCAGCCAAAAGUAGCGUGAAGGAUGACUGCCCUAUGGGUUGUAAACUUCUUUUAUAAAGGAAUAAAGUGGUCCACGUGUGGAUUUUUGUAUGUACUUUAUGAAUAAGGAUCGGCUAACUCCGUGCCAGCCGCCGC